rnacentral:rRNA from 1 species
GAUGAACGCUGGCGGCGUGCUUAACACAUGCAAGUCGAACGAGAAAUGAAGAUGGAAACCUUCGGGCGGAAGCCUUCAUUUCGAGUGGCGGACGGGUGAGUAACGCGUGGGUAACCUGCCUCAUACAGGGGGAUAACAGUUGGAAACGACUGUUAAUACCGCAUAAGACCACAGCACCGCAUGGUGCGGGGGUAAAAACUCCGGUGGUAUGAGAUGGACCCGCGUUCGAUUAGCCAGUUGGCGGGGUAACGGCCCACCAAAGCGACGAUCGAUAGCCGAUCUGAGAGGAUGACCGGCCACAUUGGGACUGAGACACGGCCCAAACUCCUACGGGAGGCAGCAGUGGGGAAUAUUGCACAAUGGGGGAAACCCUGAUGCAGCGACGCCGCGUGAGUGAAGAAGUACUUCGGUAUGUAAAGCUCUAUCGU